UUGGAGGGCAAGUCUGGUGCCAGCAGCCGCGGUAAUUCCAGCUCCAAUAGCGUAUAUUAAAGUUGUUGCAGUUAAAAAGCUCGUAGUUGAACUUCGGGGUUUACCCAUUGGUCAGGCUUAAUUGUCUGUACUGGUGAGAUGAAUCUCUACCUUCUGAGGAACUUUCAUGCCAUUUAUUUGGUGUGAUGGGAAAUCAGGACUGUUACUUUGAAAAAAUUAGAGUGUUUAAAGCAGGCUAACGUCUGAAUACAUUAGCAUGGAAUAAUAAAAUAGGACGGUGGUCCUGUUUUGUUGGUUUCUGAAUCACCGUAAUGAUUAAUAGGGAUAGUUGGGGGCAUUAGUAUUCAAUUGUCAGAGGUGAAAUUCUUGGAUUUAUUGAAGACUAACUUCUGCGAAAGCAUUUGCCAAGGAUGUUUUCAUUAAUCAAGAACGAAAGUUAGGGGAUCGAAGACGAUCAGAUACCGUCGUAGUCUUAACCAUAAACAAUGCCGACUAGGGAUCGGACGAUGUUAAAUUUUAUUGACUCGUUCGGCGCCUUACGGGAAAC
rnacentral:rRNA from 1 species